rnacentral:lncRNA from 1 species
AAAAGAAAUACAAUUAGGAUAAGGAGGAAAGCUUUCAAUUAGGAAAAAUGUAUAUGCACAAAAUAUCUGAUAAGAAUGGUAUAUAAGAUACAUAGGGAACCAAUAUAAAUAUCAUACUAAGAAUUAAUCCUCCAAAGAUGAAUGGUAAAAUAUCAAUAAUAAUAUGAAAAUGACUCCAAAUCACUAAUAAUCAAAAUCAAAACAACUUCACAAAUUAAAAAAAAAAAACUUUACAAAGAAAGAUAAAAAGAAAGGUAUACAAACUUACUGUUGUUGGAGCUAUGAAUUAUUUUAAAUAUUUUAUUUUAAACUUCAAAUUAUUUUAAUCUAAAUAUUUAAAUAUUUUAAAGAACAAUUUGUAAUUAUCCUUCAAAAGGAAGCUAAAAUGUACAUACUCUUUUGGCCCAGAAGGCCCACUUGUAAACAGACACCACAAAGAAAUUAAAGAUAAAAAAUAACAUCCCAUAUCAUCAAAAUAAUUAUAGGAAUACCUUCUGUGGUAGAAAAGAAUUGAAAACAAAGAAGAUACCUAUCAGUUGGGUAAUGGCUAAAUGAUUGCAGCAAAUCAAUAUAAUAGAAUAUUACUGUACUAUAUAAGAAAUGAAGAAUUCACAAAAACAUGAAAAGACUUAAAUAAACUAAUGCAGAAAGAAGUGAGCAGAACUAGGAAUACAAUAUAUUGCUUUCCAGAAAUUUUUUUUUAUAGCAAACAGAGCUCUAUAACAAGGAUGAGAGGACUAGUAUUUUACCUUAGUUUGCUAAAAGGGGAGUAUUUGUACUACUUCAACAGGUAGAAACAACUUAGUUUAACAUCUAGUUAACUAAAUGAAUUUAAACUGGAUAACACCAAAUGAUGCACUUCCUUCCCCAGAGCCAAAUUCUAAUUGAAUUUCUCCCUAGUUUGCUUCUACCCUACUCCCUACAAUGAUUUCUCCCAAAGAGGGUACCUUUAGGGUCUCUUUACUUAUCAGGACUGCUAACUUGAGAUUUUCUUUAUCUCUCUCUCUCUCUCUCUCUCUCUCUCUCUCUCUCUCUCUCUUUAUCUCUGUCUCUGUCUCUCUUUGUCUCUCUGUCUCUGUCUCUAUCUCUCUCUCAAUCUCAAUCUCAGUCUGUUUCUGUCUCUCCCUGCCAACUUCUCUCUCUCUCUCUCUCUCUCUCUCUCUGUCCCUCUCCUUGCCAUAGAAUGUUGUCUCAUGGCCUCCUCCCAAUGUAUCCUUGAUCCUGGGUGUCACUUUCCUCCCCACUAACUUAAUUUGUCUUACUAUUUACCCUAUGGGCAUUUUGUGGUGUUUUGUAUUUGGAAGUGCUAGUUAUAGCUUUGAGCUGAU